GCUCCUGCAAGAAACCAGGUCCUUAUGUUAUCUCAGAGUUGUAUCAGAACGAAGAUUUAAUUAAGGCACUGGCAGUUCCUAGGGCAUUAGACAUAUAACAAACAGGUUUUACAUUCUUGUUUAAAAGUGUGAGUUUCAAAAUACUCAUAAAUCUGUGAGAAGUAAGUGCACAUAUUCUGGGCAUGCAAUGAGGAAUGCAAUGGCCAAGGAGUUUGUUAAGGCCAAAUAAACUGAAACAGAAAAAUCAUUAAACCAAAAUGUUUUUGUCAUUCUUGUAAACCCACAGGUAAGAUUCUUUUAUGAAACCUAUGAACCUUUAUAAAACUUAAUAUAAAUUUUUAUGAAAACAAGUAGGCAGUGAAAGGAUGGGGAUUUUUGCCAGCUGACCAUUUAGCACUUUGUGUCUCUGCUCCAUUAUAUUUUCAUGUUAAGAACAAAUGUGUUUCUUAGGUGCAGAGAUUGGUUCAUCACUUCCUUAUCCUGUCAUGUUUAUAUAGCCCUCAAAAAAACUGAAGAACUGUGUGUGUUAAGUACAUGAAGAUUUCUAGUAAGAGUGACAUUUCAUGGAGCUGCUCAUUCUUCUGUGGAUAAAAUAAGUUCUGGAUCUAUUUUUUCCAGCAUGGUGAAGAUAAGGUGGAUGCUGGAUAAUGAUUACACAGAGGCUGUAUAUGUAGUGUGGGCAUGAUAAAAGCUGUAGAAUGCAGAGAUACUGCACAUGAUUUUUAGGUUGUGAAAAAAGAGUUCUGUGGAGUUGUGUACAUUUUGCCCUGUGUACUAAAAAAAAAAAGGAUUUAUUAAAUAGGCUGGAGGGCAUUCUUUAAAUGUACCUUGAAAGUACUAUCUACUUAAAUAGACUGAAAUUAUGCUCUCCCCUUUGUAGCUGCCAACCCAGAGAUGUUUUAGAGGCCUUGUUUGUUCUGCACACACAGAUGUCAGGCAGAUUUUGCUGCUUUACUUCCAACAACUAACCAGAAGCCACAUUUCUCCACCAGUAAUAGCAGCUACAGUUUGGCACAUGGAAUAGGAAUCAGAGAGAGACAAAAAACACACUCCAGGAGAGCACAGCACCGUCUUCAAUUAACAGUACUUACCACAAGAAUAAUAGAAGGUGUGUUAGAUUGAGGUAUAAUUCAGGCAAAAGAAAAAUGUAUUGGCUAGAAAAGAUUGUAAGAAAAAUCAGGGCAUGGAUUACCUAUGGCACAAACAGCUUAGAGAAGGAGAGAGUCCUGAGUCAGGAUUUCCAAUGUUUAUCUCCCUGCUGAAUUCCCUUAGCAGUGUAAUAGAACAUUCCUGGGUGCCUCAUACCUCUCCUCAGCAUGUGUUUCCAUUUCUCCUUCUUUUUUGUUGUUUGUGAUGACUUGUGGGUUUUUCCCUCCUCUAAAUUUUUCUUUCUUCUUUAUAUCUGUUUUUAUCUUCUCUCAUGCUUUCAUUCAUUCCUCUUUCUCCAUCUCCUCUCUUGUACAUUUAUUCUCUUGUUGGCAGUUCUCUUACUCCCAUUCGGAACAUAUUUAUUUUUCCAGGUAUUUUCCUCUCCCCUGUUUUUGGCUUUUUUUUUUUUUUUAUUUUCAGAGUUGCUGGAGAUGCAGACAGUGCUGCAAACCUCUGGGCUGAGCUGCUCCUUGCUAGGAACGGGGUGAAAAAAAGAGAGCAGGAGCAGCUGCCUGGAUUGUGAGCCUCUGACCUGCUCCUGUUUCUGCAGGAGGGUGCCUGGGGAUCAGCCUAAAAGCUGCCCAAAGCAAAAUCUCCUAAAAUGUGCACAGGGUGGAUUUCAACCAGCAGCUGCCUGCCAGCUCCUACCAUCUUCAGAGCUGCCCUUUUGGGCUGCACUGCUUUGCUAACAGCAGCAGAGUCCCAGAGAGCAGGACUUCCCGGGAUACAGGAAUGGGAGGAUGCUCAAGGUCAGCAGUCUGGGACUUUGCUGACUAAGAAACCUGGGAGGGUAAUGUCUGGUGAAGCAUCAAAAUAACAACACAAAGGCUUGAUGCCUCUUCAGCCAGUGGAAAAGAAUAAGAUGUAGUAGAGGAACUGGAGUGAAAUAAAAGGACUGGUGACCUGGCACAGCGGUGAAGAGGGAGAGGAAGGCUGAAACAAAAAAGAACUCAGACACUGUAGCUUGGAACUGUGCUUAUGUGUUACAUCACAGUAAAUGUUUUAUUAAAAACUUCCUUUCAUGCCAAAGCAAAAUAUCACCUCUCUCCAAAAGCUCUUGCCCUGUAAUGGGAUCUGUUUAAAGUAUUUUUGAAAUAAUGCUGAAAAUGCUUGAGGUUUCUGUGUGACCAAAUUAAAAUGUAGGGAGUUGGACUCACGUUCUAUUAGAAUUCUGGUUAGCAUGCACAUUUUAUCACAAGUUUUAAUAAAAUGGGUUUCUGUA